rnacentral:lncRNA from 1 species
GCUGUUCCAGAUGGCAUUUAUUUUUCCUGGGUUUCACAGCUUAUUUUUUCCAUUUCUAGAAAUUUGGUCUAAAGUUCAUUGUCAGCCCAUUUUUCAGCCACAUUGAAUACAGUUGCAAAUUCAACUAUCAUGCCUAAUCUUAAGUGUGGCAAAAUACAGAGAGAGAAGAUAGACUUGAAGGAGAUAUCUCCCAUUUUCUGUGAUUAAUUUUUACAUUUUUCAUCCCCCUUCCUACAUAUUUGAUGGCUGUUUAUAGGUGAUGCCUGCAGUUUCUGUUUGAGAGAGAUAAUUAGGGUACUUCAGAGUUGAAGCCUAAGCCAGUCAGCUAUCUAAAGUCUUCAGGCUAGAGAGUCUCCUAGAGGGAGGAACCCUUUAGUCUAUCACCUGAAGCCAUCUGGCAGGACGUGCAUUGCAGAAAUGGUUGGUCUGAAGUGUUCUAACUCAGCAGCAUCAUUGAAUUUCAUGGAAUGCAUUGGAGUGUAGCUAAAGGGCUUCUAAUAAGGUAUAUCUUAACCAUUGGACCUCUGCUUUCCUAACACAUGACUU